rnacentral:rRNA from 1 species
UGGGGGAUAUUGCACAAUGGGGGAAACCCUGAUGCAGCGAUGCCGCGUGGAGGAAGAAGGUUUUCGGAUUGUAAACUCCUGUCGUAAGGGAAGAGAAAGGACUGUACCUUACAAGAAAGCUCCGGCUAACUACGUGCCAGCAGCCGCGGUAAUACGUAGGGAGCGAGCGUUGUCCGGAAUGACUGGGUGUAAAGGGAGCGUAGGCGGGAUGGCAAGUCAGAUGUGAAACCUGAGGGCUCAACCUUCAGACUGCAUUUGAAACUGCUGUUCUUGAGUGAAGUAGAGGUAAGCGGAAUUCCUGGUGUAGCGGUGAAAUGCGUAGAGAUCAGGAGGAACAUCGGUGGCGAAGGCGGCUUACUGGGCUUUUACUGACGCUGAGGCUCGAAAGCGUGGGGAGCAAACAGGAUUAGAUACCCUGGUAGUCCACGCCGUAAACGAUGAUUACUAGGUGUGGGGGGAUUGACCCCUUCCGUGCCGCAGUUAACACAAUAAGUAAUCCACCUGGGGAGUACGACCGCAAGGUUGAAACUCAAAGGAAUUGACGGGGGCCCGCACAAGCAGUGGAGUAUGUGGUUUAAUUCGAAGCAACGCGAAGAACCUUACCAGGUCUUGACAUCGAGUGACGUAUCCAGAGAUGGAUAUUUCCUUCGGGACACAAAGACAGGUGGUGCAUGGUUGUCGUCAGCUCGUGUCGUGAGAUGUUGGGUUAAGUCCCGCAACGAGCGCAACCCUUAUCAUUAGUUGCUACGCAAGAGCACUCUAAUGAGACUGCCGUUGACAAAACGGAGGAAGGUGGGGAUGACGUCAAAUCAUCAUGCCCCUUAUGACCUGGGCUACACACGUACUACAAUGGCGAUCGAACAGAGGGAAGCAAGACAGCGAUGUGGAGCCAAUCCCAAAAAAUCGCCCCAGUUCAGAUUGCAGGCUGCAACUCGCCUGCAUGAAGUCGGAAUUGCUAGUAAUCGCAGAUCAGCAUGCUGCGGUGAAUACGUUCCC